rnacentral:rRNA from 1 species
GAUCCUGGCUCAGGAUGAACGCUAGCGACAGGCUUAACACGUGCAAGUCGAGGGGCAGCAUGAGGUAGCAAUACCUUGAUGGCGACCGGCGCACGGGUGAGUAACGCGUAUGCAACCUGCCCGAUACCGGGGUAUAGCCCAUGGAAACGUGGAUUAACACCCCAUAGUACUUUUAUCCUGCAUGGGAUGUGAGUUAAAUGUUCAAGGUAUCGGAUGGGCAUGCGUCCUAUUAGUUAG